GAUGAAGAACGCAGCGAAAUGCGAUAAGUAAUGUGAAUUGCAGAAUUCAGUGAAUCAUCGAAUCUUUGAACGCACAUUGCGCCCGCCAGUAUUCUGGCGGGCAUGCCUGUCUGAGCGUCAUUUCAACCCUCAUGCCCCUAGGGCGUGGUGUUGGGGAUCGGCCAAAGCCCGCGAGGGACGGCCGGCCCCUAAAUCUAGUGGCGGACCCGUCGUGGCCUCCUCUGCGAAGUAGUGAUAUUCCGCAUCGGAGAGCGAUGAGCCCCUGCCGUUAAACCCCCAACUUCCCAAGGUUGACCUCAGAUCAGGUAGGAAUACCCGCUGAACUUAAGCAUAUCAAUAAGCGGAGGA
rnacentral:misc_RNA from 1 species